UACGUAGGGUGCAAGCGUUGUCCGGAAUUAUUGGGCGUAAAGAGCUCGUAGGCGGUGUGCCACGUCGGCCGUGAAAACCUGCAGCUUAACUGUGGGCGUGCGGUCGAUACGGGCAUCACUGGAGUUCGGCAGGGGAGACUGGAAUUCCUGGUGUAGCGGUGAAAUGCGCAGAUAUCAGGAGGAACACCGGUGGCGAAGGCGGGUCUCUGGGCCGAUACUGACGCUGAGGAGCGAAAGCGUGGGGAGCAAACAGG
rnacentral:rRNA from 1 species